CACACACACACUCUCUCUCUCUCUCUCUCCUACGACUCUCUCUCUCUUUGAUUCCGGGCUAGUUUUACACCGGAUCGACAAAUCGAAGCCACCACGACGCUCCUGGCAAAGUUCUCUACAAGUCUGCCGGAGCGGAUCGUCAGGGAAAUGAAGUUGGAUUUCAUCCCAAAAUCGAAGCCACCACGACGCUCCUGGCGAAGUUCUCUACAAGUCUGCCGGAGCGGAUCGUCAGGGAAAUGAAGUUGGAUUUCAUCCCAAAUCCAAGUUCCAAGGUGUUGAUUGGGAACGUUGGGAAUCAUCCCUAAGUUGAGGGUGUUGAGUUGAGAACCUUGUAGGUACGGGGAAGAUUUUCUUAGGGGCUUUUCAGGAAUCAGGAGCCCAUGAUAGAAGAGCGAGAAAAGCCCCGCUGAUAUAGUACGGUCUAUCUGUCCUUUUUGAAGGGUAAGUUUUGUAGGGACAGUUAGAUUUUGUGGGAAAUGUCCCUAGGUUUUAUUUUUGGGAUGUAUAUAUGAAAAUACAAUGAUUGUAAUAACUCUGGUAUAUUGUGGUAUAUGGUAUUGAGAUGUACAUGUUUGU